CCAGCAGCCGCGGUAAUACGAAGGGGGCUAGCGUUGUUCGGAAUUACUGGGCGUAAAGCGCACGUAGGCGGACCAGCAAGUUAGGGGUGAAAUCCCGAAGCUCAACCUCGGAACUGCCUUUAAAACUGUUGGUCUCGAGUUCGAGAGAGGUGAGUGGAAUUCCGAGUGUAGAGGUGAAAUUCGUAGAUAUUCGGAGGAACACCAGUGGCGAAGGCGGCUCACUGGCUCGAUACUGACGCUGAGGUGCGAAAGCGUGGGGAGC
rnacentral:rRNA from 1 species